GCCGAAGUGGCGGAAUUGGUAGACGCGCACGUUUGAGGGGCGUGUGGCGCAAGCCAUGCCGGUUCGAGUCCGGCCUUCGGCA
rnacentral:tRNA from 1 species